ACGGGGGUAAAAUUAGGCGCUGGAAUUUUCAAUCGUCCAGACAACUCUCUUUCACUCGGUCUCUCGCUUCCCUCUCUCUCACUCCGAUCGUCUUUGGCUUCCUUCAUCUGCCACUUCCUCGAGUGAUUUUCAAAGACGCCGGACAUCCACCUCAUGCAAUACAGUGCACGAGGAAUUCCUCGCCGUUACCCACCCAUCGUUAGACGAAGACAAAGGAAUCUGUGUUUGCUUUAAUCCUAAAUUAGGGUUUUAUUUGAAGGCUCUGUGUAUAUUGAAAGCUCUGGUUGCAAAUCUGUGAUUUUUUUAAUUGGUUGCGGGGAAAAUGCAAAGGUAACUGGGCUCAGGAAAAUGGUAUGAAGGAAAGCUCUGAAAUUAGAUAUUGCUAUUAUUAUGUGCUAGAAACUACAGUACCCUUUCGUCCCUCAUCCGCACACUUUUUACAGCUGCUUAUUAAUCACUUAUUAAUAACUUAACAUGCUUAGCAAACCACUCCUCUGCACACUUUUUACAGCUGCUUAUUAAUCACAUAUUAGUAACUUAACAUGCUUAGCAAACCACUCCUCUGCACACUUUUUACAGCUGCUUCAUCUUCAACAUUGUACCUCAUGGUCCAACUUUUGGAAGUAUCUUCACAUAGCUUGUUUUAGUUUUCAGACUACAUGCUAAUUAAUGUAAGAUAGAACUUGUGGAAAGUGGCUUGAUCUUGUGCAUAUUUAGCAUAAGCAGAACCCUUGCAAAUGAUGGCAUAUAAUUAUUAGUACAAAGAUGCAACUCUUCUGGUGUGAUUUGAUUACUUACUAGCGUAACUGAACUGGCGAUGAUGGGGUUAAUUAGGCUUUGUUGUCUUGUCAAGUUGGCCAAAGGAAUUUGUAAUCCUUUUAGAAAAACAUAUGUAUAUAAUAUAAUACAUGUAAGAGAAUUAGUGCAUUCCUAUAACAAGUUGGAGAUGGACUGGAACCAAAAGUUGUUAUGUUCCACUACGAGAAAAAAGAAAUGUAUAACCAAACUCUGUAAAGCAAGCAAAUGAAAAUUACUAAAUGAGAAUUUGAAAAUAAUAAAUAAUGAUAAGAAUUUGAAAAUUACUAAAUGAGAAUUUGAAAAUAAUAAAUGAGAAUUUGCAAUGCGCCUAUGUCGUAAGAUACACUUUUAGGAUUAAUAAUUGGAUUAAGGCAGAUUUCCAUUAUAUAAAUCAUGUACCAAUUGCCAACUAGGACGACCUUUUAUGCUUUCAAACUUUCUCUCUACCUUAGCUAGCUAGCUAUGAACUUGAUGAUAUUAUCAUGAUGUCAAUCAAUUUAAUCAUUGAAUUACUGCUUUUAUUUGAAAUGGUAGCUACAAGCCAAACUUGAUGAUAUUAUCAUGAUGUCGAUCAAUUUAAUCAUUCCAUGUAGUUAAGCUUUCAAUUUGCUUUUAGAACUAUUAAAUGUAAUGAACUUUGGUAUUGCCUUUGUUACCUUAAUCUGUAUAUUGCCUUUGUUUCCUAUAUCUUCUCUGCAACCUAUUGGAGUCUAAGUGAGAAAGCAGCUCAUUUAGAACAAAGAAGGUGCGCUUUACCACAAGGAUAUUUGUCUUGCAAAGUAAUACUUUCCCAUCCAAAAGUUUGAUGUCGCAGUUGAUCACUUGUUGUCGGAGUGUGACUAAUGCGCCUCCUGCAUUAUCAGCAUCUACUGCUCCAGGCGUGAGUGCUCCAUUGAUUGGGGAGCCUACACCCCUUACUGAGGCUGCUCCUAUGGCGUCCUAGGUGCCCAUAUCAUCGACGUCAUCAGUGUCGGUUCAAUUGCUCAGUGCAUGGCGGCCUUAUCGGCACUGUCGUGAGCCGGAGCCUUUUGAUCACACUUCCUCGACAUUCAGAGUCAAGGGUGGGGCCUCCCAGCCAGCUAAAAGAAACACCAGGGGGCCUAAUCGAAUGCUGAAGCCGGCAUAGAGCGUAUGUUUGUCCGCCUCCUUGAUGAAGAUUGCGUAUGACUCGCGACAUCGUGGAGUGGCUACCUCAUAGCAGCAUAGCAGCGUCGCUACUAGCUGUGGUUAUGUUAUUCAAACAUUGUUGUCCUGUGCAAUUGUAGUUUUUUCUUUUUUGUUCAGACAUAUUGUAUGUACAUUUUCAUAUAUUUUAUAAUUAAAUACUUUUUCUUGGUUUA